rnacentral:rRNA from 1 species
UGGGGAAUAUUGGACAAUGGGCGCAAGCCUGAUCCAGCCAUGCCGCGUGGAUGAUGAAGGCCCUAGGGUUGUAAAGUCCUUUUAACGGGGAAGAUAAUGACGGUACCCGUAGAAUAAGCCCCGGCUAACUUCGUGCCAGCAGCCGCGGUAAUACGAAGGGGGCUAGCGUUGCUCGGAAUUACUGGGCGUAAAGCGCACGUAGGCGGACCGAUAAGUCGGGGGUGAAAUCCUGGAGCUCAACUCCAGAACUGCCUUCGAAACUGCCGGUCUUGAGUUCGGGAGAGGUGAGUGGAACUGCGAGUGUAGAGGUGAAAUUCGUAGAUAUUCGCAAGAACACCAGUGGCGAAGGCGGCUCACUGGCCCGAUACUGACGCUGAGGUGCGAAAGCGUGGG